UUCAGAUUGCAUAACAAGUACGAUGUGGUAAUUGGAUUUAAUAAGAAGUAAACAAGUUAUUACGUCGAUAGAACUUGGUAAAUGGUGGUACAACAAUAUAUAUAUACGACUUUUCAGGAGAAUCGUACGUAAACAAGUAGUGAUGUCAUAAUAACUGUAAAUUGUCCGUAAUUGACUGAUCUUGUCAUGUCCCAGAAUAUUUAUCAGGCAAAAUCAAUUACGUCAUUUAAAAUAGUGGUAAUAAGAACUCUCUUAGAGAACAAAGCUUAAUUGGUUCACAGUUAGCUUAAAUCAAUUAGAUGUUGUUGUAGUGGGGAAACAAGAACAUCCGCUUCAUUAUUGCAAUGAGUUCUACUACUAUUUGUUAUUAACCUGUUUCAUUUGCAAGUAAUUGUAACCCUUUGUAAUCUUUAAAUAUGACCUUUUGUUAAUAUCAGGUUGAAAAUUAUCGACAAAUAGAUACACAACCAUAUUUGCAGAUAACCACAAUGUAAAUAAUAUUAAGUAAAUAUUAAGGACUUGAGUUUAUGGGUAAAACACAUUAUCUUGAAGUGCUUCUUUACAUAAAGGUUUUGUAUCUGCAGGUGGAGUACUUGUAUAGGCAUGUUUUAUAGGUUGAUGGUCAGAAUAUCGUAUCUUGGAGGAAAUAAUAUUACGGAUAUUAAUGUACUUACUGUUUUUUUUCGCUUUUACAUACAUCAUAUAUUAACCAAUGUAUUUUAUUAACCAGAAUUGACGUAUAAUGAAUGAGCUGCUGCAUUAGAAAACAUUAUCAAAAAACGAUUUUAUACAAAGAAAUAAAAAGUUAAUUUAAUACAAAGAAAUAAAAAGUUAAUUUAAUACAAAGAAAUAAAAAGUUAAUUUUGUACAAAGAAAGUAUCUUAAGUACCUUAAAAAAAAGGAAAAAAAAGGAGGAGAUAACUUCUUGAAUGCAUUUUUUUUUUAUUGAAUUGCAAUACCUAGAUAGAUUUCAAAAAUUAAAGAAAAUUGGCAAUUAGAAGGUAAUCUUUAAAGAAAGAAAAAUCCUCAUUGGAAAAAAACUGAACAAUACACCAAAAAAGUAAUUUCUACUUAUGGCUAGAGAAACCCUUUGAAACAGUGAAAACACAUGUAUAUGCCACUCAAAACAAAUAUGCUUAUGAAAUGCAGUGAGAUCAUUGUUGACCAUUCACUCAAGCACAUUUUUAGCUAUAAGUCACAGUACAGCCUUCAAAGUGAGCAAAAAUAAUAAUUGUAAAGUGAGCUAAAGAAGGAUCCAACAUGACAAAAUGUAAAGAAAUUCAAAAGAGAAAACCAACUGCAUGAGCUAAUGUGAUCCAGGGGGCCUGAGGGGCCUUUCAUGGGGAAAUUUGGUUGUAUAUAUAGGGAAUCACUGAAGCAUUAAUGGAGCCCCCCCCUCUUUCUGUCAGUCAGCGGGCCCCCCUUAUGAAAAGUUCUGGAUCUGCCACUGAACUGCUUCAUUUAUGUACAAGUCAGUUAAUCAAAAACAAAUAUGAUAGACAGCAACCAACAGCAAAACAGGUUCCUGAAUUAUAUUAUAAAUUCAGGACCACUUUGUUUCCAAUGAUAUAAUACUAUAAACAUUUAUUUUGAGGCUUUAUCAUUAUCACAUCUGCCAUAGAACAAAUUUCUGAUGUUACACUUGUUUGUCCUUUUUCAUAGCUGAUUCAUUGGGAAAAGUAUUAAAGAUAAUUAAUUUUCAUUGGUUUCAUGGACAAUUUAAAAAUAAAUUGAAUUGUAGUGUAAAUGAUUUUCAGAUUUACCACGCAGACUCUUCAGUUUCCAGGUAUUCUGACAGAGUGGGGGGAUUCUUACCACAAUAUCAUGUACAACUUGUUGAUGCUAAUUGCAAAAUUUUCCGUGACAAAUCUUGCAUGGGCAAUUGUGCAUUAUCUGACCACACAGGAUAUAUCUACAUGUAUUUACACAUUAGUCUUUUUAAGAUAAGACUUUAGAUGUGACAUGUACAUCAUGUAAAAAUCACAAGACAAUUUUAAUGAAGAGUAAUAAAGUAGGAGUGAUGCAACACCCCUGUAAAAACAUGAUAUGCAUCUUAUAAAACAUUAAACAUUUCCAGAACUUACACGGAAAUGAAAUUGCAAUAAUCCUCAAAUCAUACGUUUAUAAUCUAAUUAAUCUCCUAUUUCAAGGAAAAUGAUGAAUAUAAAGUUUGGGUCCGUUUGUAACAAUUGUUUUAGGAAAGUGGGUAUACUUGACUCAAUGAGAGGAUAUCCUUUUGUACUUUAAAUAGGUCCAUUCAUUUAUAUUACUAUUUUCACAAUGAGCGGAAGAGGAAAAGGAAACAUUGAAAAAGUGGAUUCUCAAAAAAUAGGUCGGGUCAGGAGUAUGAUGAAAAAACUUUUAAAGCUUGUUCUGCGGAUGUGAAAAUAAAAUUAUCUGAUACAGUUCUGUUUCUAAAUGGUACCAAAUGUUACAAACUAAUUUUGGUUUCAGAAAGGAAUCAACUACUUCCUUUGAAUUGUUAUGAGUCUUACACAUAUGAAAAUAUAGAUAUAAGCAAAAUGGAAAUGUUGAAUGAUUGCCAAUGGGAAAAAAUGCAUUUUACCCACUAAAGCCAAAGGACAAGGAUAUAAACAACUACAGUUUACUAUACAACCUUCAACACAGAGCAAAACUCUUUCUGUAAAAGUAGGCUUCAAAAGGUCAAUGCAUAACAAAUUGUGAAACUAUUCAAAGAGAAAAUCAACAGCCUUAUUUAUUCUAAAACAAUUGUAGCAGACAGCAGAUAGAGACAGGGUAAACUUCUAGAGGCAGCAACACAACAACAGAAGUUAAGCAGAUAUAGUUCAAGUUGUGUUGGUAUAUUCUUUUCAUAAAUCAUAUUUACCCUAACCUUUAGGUACUGCUUAAUGUAACAUAAGGAGUCGGAUUUUUCAAAUUUUACAUCACAUAUGAAUUAUGUGUGUUUUAAACAGCAGCUCAAUCAGAAUUUUCAGUAUGAGAAGGAAGAAUCUGAAGGAUAAGAUUGCUAGUCUCUGAGGAGGUUUAACUAAGUUAGAAAUGAUAUGAGGUGUUAUCUGAGAAUGUUUCUCCAGAGGCAGAGUGAGAGAUAAUUAGACAUCCUAUCUGAGGUUGUCUGAAUUCCAAGUCAUGCAUACAUGAGUUGCAUGAUUCUUGCAAUUUGAAAAGAUUCAAAAUGAUUUAAAGUUCUCUGAAAAAGAUAAGAUGUUCAUAUGCUAUCAGACACAGGGGGUGGAAAUUUACUGAAAACCAUGCAUGUAUGGUGUCUUACCCAGGGGUUUGGCAAUUACUAUAAAAAGGGCUAUUUGUUUGAUGUCCUACCCAGGGGGUUUGGAAAUCACUGAAGCUAUCUCAACCAGGAGGUUCAGGCAGACAAGAGUAUCUCAGUCAAAAGCAACCAUGCAAAUUUUAAUCAAUUGCAGAAUAAUAAAAAAACAUUCUCCUGCCAACUUCAAAAGAAAUGCAUAAAUCAUAAUUACAACUAACAACAAAAGCCAAUAACUUUUUAAAAUUUCAAUGAAAUUAAAAAAUGGAAAAAAAAUAUGGAACAUAAUGCUUACAACUAUUUAAUUAUUUCUAAACAGUCAUUGAACAUGUAAACUGUGGAAUUUACUCUUAAUAUACAAGUACCGAAUCUGUCUUAAAAGAAUUUAACUUUCAAGUAGUGUUUUUGUAUCAUAAUAGAGCAUCUUCAUUAUACAUGGUAUUUUUAUAGCAUUUCUUUGUAAAUCACAAGUGUUUGUUUGUGUUUGAAUAUCGGAGGAAUUUAGAAAAUUUGUUAAUUAGGUCUUAAAAAUGAUCGUAAAAAUUUAAAUUAUCAAAAAAAGAUAUAGAUUCUGUUGAGCAGUGAUUUACUUUGGGCAAUACACAUUCUUUUGACAGAAGAAUAUUAACUUUUUUUUGAAGGACAGGAAUAAGGCACUAACCUUUCGUCUUCUGAGGGGGUAUGGGAGGUUUUUUUGUUGAUAAUUUUUUUCUACAUUUCUUAUGAAAAAAAUAUAAUUUCAGAGGGAAAGUGAAGAAAAUGUUUGUUUCUAUUGAAAAUUUAAAAAAUGAUUAUAAAUGCAAUUCAAAUUAAGUUUUAAAACAAUAUCUGUUCCUGUAUGUUACCCAUUUUUUUUAAUUUUUUUUUUUAAUAAUUCAAACAUUUUCCUAAAAAGAAAGACUUUUCCACACAUAUUAUGAAUGGCUUUGCCCUAAGCCUUAUCAAAUGCUCCUUUUAAAGAAAAUUUUAUGGUGACUGCUUUAAUCAGUGAUAUGUAGCAUGGAUUAUGAUUCUUGAUGACCUAUUUUUAAAAGUUAGAUUCAUUAAAGAUGAAUUAAAAGAUAAAGAAAACAAUCAAUCUUUUCUAUAGGUUCAAAAGAAAUAGCACCAAGGAACAUUUUAAUUUGAACAUGAACUAAAUAGCCACAACUUUUGAAAUUUAAUCAAAUUAACACAAGUCACCUCACCCCUCUUAAGAAUUUUAGAACUUUGAUUGUUCGCCUUCAUUCAACAGUGUUUUAUUUGAAAAUUAUAUUAACUUUAUUGGAAAUAAAUUAAAGAUCAAUCUCAUACAUUAUACAAUACAAGGGAGAUAAUACCCUUUAAAGGGAUUUAGAAAGCUUUUAAUUGGUCGAAAAAUUGUUUAUUUAUUAUUUAUUUCUUAUCUUAAAUAGCCAUCAAGAUAUCAAGAGGUGUCCUUUGUAUUGUCACAAUUAGUUUACUUAAAACAUUGUAUUAUUGCUUGUAUUUGAUGUCCACUAUGGCCAAUUCCUUUGAUCUGACCUAAUUAAGAUAACAAUAAAAAAACAACAUACAACCACAUAGAUAAUGUCCAGUUUUACAUCUAGCCAGUGGUCAUUUUGAAUGUUGAUCCCUGAUUUAUUACUUACGUAAAUGUAUUUAAUUAUCUAUAUCAGUUGAAUGGCUUUAUAAGAACAUUACCACAGUAUGACAAGGUACUUACUGGAUAAUUAUUACUUGUCAAUGGUAUAUUUUGUCCACAAAAUUUGGUCUUACAAGACUGUUUCUUCCACAAUGUUAUUUCUUACAUAAUGAUCUACUAAUUGUCAUAUAAUUGUCUAGUAAUGGGUUUGGGUAAAAAGGGUAUUUCAAUUAAAGGAAGGGUUCAGCUUGUUGGAUUUGAUAUUACUUAGUACAGAUAUAUGUCUAAGUGCAUCUUGAUGUUCUAAACCACAUCAGAAGUAAAUAACAAGGGCACCUGGGAUUCUAUAUAGUUAUAACUUAGGACCAGAAAUAUGUCAGAAAUUUUAAAAUGAGUUGGAAUCCAUAAUGUUAUAAUUUGUCUUGUCUGUCAUUGUUCCCCACAACUUGACAGCAGUAAUUAUUAUGGUAUACUAAUUUUCACUACUAAAACCAAAUGCUAGAAGAAAAAAUGUUUUGAAUGAAUAUCCAGGUUGAAGAAAUGGUAAAAAAAAACCCAGCAAAAACGGAAACUGUUAAUACAUUAUAGUAAUACAAACAGCUUAAAUUACCUACAAUUCCAGGUCCCCCGAUACUAUAUCAGUUUUAGAAUCCAACUUUUAUGGUAUACUGCAGUCUACAGAAAGAUCAAAUAUGUCAGAACAAUCGUCAUUGAUUAUGAUGUUAAAAAUUUUAUGAAUAUGAAAACAGUUCUGUGUACCAAAUUGGUUAAUCUCUUUGACAUGUGCUUUCAUUGUGGGACUAAUACAUAGAUAUAAAGGUAUUGGUUCUAUAUUUACCCAACCAAAAAAUUAAUAGCAGGCAAUGAUACUCAGAGAACGUUUUAAUUUCACAUACUAGUACACCUUCCCCUUCAAGAUAAAAGGUUUAAAUUUUAUUUGAAAUUGAACUUAAUUUAACAUGGAACAGUCCUGUUAUGAUGUUUGCAUAUGCAAGUGUUCUAUUUAGAAAACAAAAUGUUUUAUUUGAUAGAUGAAUUUGCAGGCGUUUCUCUAAAAUUAUAAUAGCCUAAAACUUGACAUAUCUCUUGUUACAGUAUCAUGGGUUUUAGAUUGCAUGAAAAAUAAUAAAUCCCUUUAUUAAAAAAGAUCCAUCAACUCCAGACUAAACACAAACUACUCAUCCCAACACAAAUAGAAUUAGCUUUUACAUCAAAUUCUGGUCACAUAUCUCUUUUGUUGAAUCUAAACACUGGUAAGAUAACACUGAUUAAAUUAAACAGAAAUAAUUGAUAGAAAACAAGUUUCUUUUUGUUGUGUAAACAGGCCAUGAUCUUCUCUUUUUGUUGUAUAGACAGACCAUCAUCUUGUAAAUUACAUUCAGUUUAUCAAAGUAAAUAAGAGAAUUGUCCAAAACAGAUCAGUUUCUGUACCUUUUAUGUGAUUAAUUUCUCAAGGAGCACUUCAUAUUACUUUGAGAUACAUUUUCAGCUGAUGUUGCAAAACUUGUCUUUGCUAAACUAUUUUUGAUAAAAAAUACUGAAGAUUCAGAAAAUUUUGAAUGCAUUUAUUAUUGUGAUUUCAAGAAAUGAGGCAUAUAUAAGAAUAAUCCUAUUAUAAUUUAGAUUGAAAACUAUUUUAUAAAAACUCAGAUUUCAUCUUUAAAACUUAUUAAUUGGGCGACAGUCUUUUCAAGUAAUGUUUUGAACCAAUUGUCUGUUUACAGUUCUUAUCAAGUUCUUGCUGAAUUGCUCAAUUUAAAUGUGCAUUUUUUUACCAUGUAGAUUUAAUACUUAAAUUGGGUUGAAGACACAUAUGGGGCGUUAAAAAACAUGAGUCAUAAACAAUCAGACAACCCCAUGACCAAAAGAAGAAAGACACAAGUUUGCAAAACACUACUUAAUAGAAGAGUAAAGAUUAUAAGUAACAGAAACACCAACAAAACUGGGAGUAAUGUUAGGUACUCUAGAAGAGUAAGCAGUUCCUGCCCCACAAUACCAUUUUUUCUGGACGACAUAUUUUGAACAAAAUAUAUAUCAAUUCUUCAAUUUAAGACCCUUUACCCAUGAUUCUAUGAUAGCAGUUACCUGGCACUUAUUCACCUCACUAGGUCAUUAACGUUUUACUGCUGUAAAUAGACAAUAUAUCAAAGCUAUUUUAAGACAAACCAAAGCCUGGCUUUAAUGUUAUUUUUUUAUGUUCCCAGAAAGUAAAAAGCCUCCUACUCUUGACAUUUGAACCAGACAUAAAACUAUGUAUUAUCUUUCUUCAUGGUCUGGAAUAUAGAUUCUAUUAUCCCCUUUGGACAAACAUUAAUUGUUUACUUUAAUUCUGAAAAUGGAUUGAAUCCCUUUUUAGGAUCAACAAACAAUUAAUAUGGCCAUUAUUACAGUUAUAAAACAUUAUGAACCUGUUUGAUAAUAACCAAACAUAUCAAUAUCCAGAGUGUAUACUUAUAAACAUCUGACACCUGGAUUUAAUGUGUUAUGUCCACUUGUCAAAUAGCCAGUGGUCAUUGCUCUGGACAUAAAACAUGGACACAAGGCCUUCACUACAUAAACUUUCUAUUUUCUUUGCUGAGACAAAAAGAUAAACUAUAUUUUUAUUAUCAAAGCUUUUUCUGAUCAUUUACAAGAUAUUUUUGACACUCGAUAGAUAAAAACAGGGUGUAUAAAGAAUAUUCUGUUGAAAAUAAUAUGCAAUUUGUCAAAGGGGUAUGUUUUCAAGUACUGAAGUUUUUGUCAUUUUUUUUGCUUGAACAUGUAUAAAUAAUAAAAAUGAUUAUGAUAUAAUAAAUUAAACAAACUUUGUUUAUGUUAUAUAAACAAGUGUGUUAGCUGUUAUCUUUGAUAUUUCUUUCUUUUAAGUAUGAUGGAUGUCCUAAAUUAUACUAAUUUUAUACCGAUCAUUUCAGCACACACACACAAAGGGAAAGAAAACUCCCUGAUCAAUAUUGUGAUAGGACAUUCCACUUGGGUGCAAAUUUUUUUCAUUUAAUUUUUUAAUAUUAACAAAAAGUUGUGAUAGGACAUCUCACUUGUGUUCAAGUUUUUUUCAUUUAACUUUUUAAUAUAACCACCAAGUCUAUGUCAGGAACUGGACUAUAACACUCUAAGACAUAAGCCCGAAUUUCCAGCUACUUUGUAGCUGUGGUCUUAUCAGACAUCAUGCUGAUGUCAAUUACCCCAGAUCAUGCAUCAUGCUGGGUUUGUUGAUCUUAAUCCCCUUAAUAACUGGUCACAUACAUAUUAUAUUACUUUCUAUAUAUCAUUUUCAGUACAGUUACAAAUGUGUAUAAAUGAUUCCUAGUGAACAUGGUGAAUAUUGAUAUAGAAAUUGAAUACGUGAAAGGAAGUUGAAAUAAAAACAGAAAACUAUUUAAAGUGAUUAAGUUUUUAUUGUAAUUUAUAGUAUGUAAUAUCGUUUGGCACAGUAGCAAAUGUACACACGUUUAAAAAAAGAUGACAUAAAUCUAAUUUUGUCAAACAAUCAUGGGUAUGAUAGAAAAGAAGAGAACACAUUGAUUAACACAUUCUAUUGUUUUGAAGAAAAAAGGGGGAUUGUCAUCUGGAGGUUUAAUUGAUUUUUUUUCGUUUUCAAAAUUGAUUUUUUUAAUAAAAAUCAGUUCCUUUGACCACAUUGAUUUUGUGUCACAAACCUAUGCUGUGUCAAAUAUUCAAUCACAAUCCAAAUCAAGAGCUGUUUUAAGCUUAAAUGGUGUGUCCAUACUUGCUCGGCUGUUCCGCUUUCAACCUUUGCAGGAAAUCUGGUUUGCCGUCACUCUGACAGCCUCUAGUUACACUUGGAUUUUGGAAAUCAUUGUUAAUUUUGGAAUAUGGCUCUAUCAUGCAUAGAUCAUAGUACUUAAAGACAAGGAGUUUUUAAAGCCCUCCCCCUUUUUAAAAAAAAAAUCUGGAGUUUUUACUGUUAAUUUCUAGCUGUGUAAAGUUAACUUAGAAUCAAAAGCAAGUAGCAAAUACAAUUUAAUUUGAGCAUGUUUAUUGUGAUAUAGUAUAUAAAAAAACAUGAAUUUAAUCGAAAUUGAUAGAAAACUAAGAAAAAUACCAGAUUUAGAUAAAAGGGGGAGGGCUAAAAAAAAUUGUCUUUUAACCAAUAUCUAUGGCAUAGACCAGAUCAUUUUUCAAAGUUAUGCUAAUCGUUUAUGGUAAUUUUUUAAUUUCCCCCGAUUUCACAUCAGUUUGAAAGAAAUCAAAGUUAUUUAAUAUAGAAUAAAAGUUUUUUAAUAUAGAAUAAAAGUUGAGGAACAAAUUAUUUUCAGAUAAAUGUAGGGAUUGCCCAUUACAUCGCAAUAAACUAAACAUGCAUAUUAUGCAUAUUAUUAUUUUUAAUAUAUUUUUUUUCUUUAGGAUAUUUUUUUUUCUUUUCAAAUUUAUUGUUCAGAAAUACAAUGAAGCUAGGAGGAAAGACACAGAGAAAUAUAAAUGUAUAGCUUAUCAUUUUGUGAUCAACAUCUGGUUAUAAUUAGUGAACCACUUAACAAGUGUGUCCACAUAAUUUAUAUCUAACUGAUUACUGAUAACAUGCUGAGAUAAAUUUAUAGAAAAAUAUUAGGAAAUCCGGGCUUAUGUCUUAGAGUGAUAAAGUCUAUGUACUCACCAUAUAUGUAGCUCCACUGGGGAGUUUGAGGCUUUGCUAAGAUUGUACAAUCACUUUUGCAAACAAAGCAGUGAUUUCAACCAGGUUUUUCAGCAGGCUUAACCUUCCCACUUGUAUGACAGUGAUUUCAGUUCAUAUAGUCUAAAAACUUUAUUGAUACCAUAGAUUCAUAUCCCCCUGUGUAUUUCUUGUAAGUGAGUUGAAACUUAGGUCUAACAUCCUUUUUUUUUUAUAAACUUUUAUCAAAUCUUUAGUUGUAUAUUUCUUGCCGAUAAUAUUAUGUAACCUAAAAUUGUGUUAAUACAAACAUUUGUUUUCAAGUGCUUUCUUAAUUGGAAUUAUAUUUUAGAGUGAUUUUCUUUUAUUUGAUUAAUUAUUGAAGAAACAAUUACUUCUAACCCACUGCUUUCAUUUUGUAAAGUGCUUUGACAGCCAAUCAGACAGGUUACAAUAAAAUAAUCUGAAGAGAUUUUCUCCUGACAUUAGCCAUAUAUGCAUGGACAUUGAUUUUUUUCAAUAUACCAAAACCUUGAAACUAUUGCCACUUUCCUCCAAACUUGAUUGUUUUAUACUGUUUCUGAUGAAGGGACUUGAUUAUGCAUGAUAAGCAACUUUUGAAAAAUUUGUUUCAAAAUAUUGUUUUGUUAGGCAUUUUUAUCUUGUGAACCAUUUUCCAAGUUGAUAAAAAUAUCUUUUGUAGACAUAUGCUGGUAAUAAUUUUGAUCAAGGGAGAUAAGGAAAAGAUAAGGAAAAGUAAUAAAGGGAGAUAAUUAAAGGACAUUUAGAAGAAAGUGAGGUUUUGAUGAAG
rnacentral:lncRNA from 1 species